rnacentral:rRNA from 1 species
UACGUAGGGUGCAAGCGUUAAUCGGAAUUACUGGGCGUAAAGCGUGCGCAGGCGGUUUUGUAAGUCUGUCGUGAAAUCCCCGGGCUCAACCUGGGAAUUGCGAUGGAGACUGCAAGGCUAGAAUCUGGCAGAGGGGGGUAGAAUUCCACGUGUAGCAGUGAAAUGCGUAGAGAUGUGGAGGAACACCGAUGGCGAAGGCAGCCCCCUGGGUCAAGAUUGACGCUCAUGCACGAAAGGCGUGGGGAGCAAACGAGG